AGAAAUGUAGUUUAAAAAAAACACUGUUUUGAUAGGGCAGAGAUGCAUAAAAUGUCAUUUUUA
rnacentral:tRNA from 1 species